rnacentral:rRNA from 1 species
UAGCCGUAAACGAUACUCGCUAGGUGUCGGCCACGGUGCGACCGUUGUCGGUGCCGUAGGGAAGCCGUGAAGCGAGCCACCUGGGAAGUACGGCCGCAAGGCUGAAACUUAAAGGAAUUGGCGGGGGGAGCACCACAACGCGUGGAGCCUGCGGUUUAAUGGAUUCAACGCCGGAAAUCUUACCGGGACCGACAGCAACAUGAAGGCCAAGCUGAAGACUUUGCCGGAUUAGCUGAGAGGAGGUGCAUGGCGUAGUCGUGU